UAACCUGAGAGUUUGAUCCUGGCUCAGAACGAACGCUGGCGGCAUGCCUAACACAUGCAAGUCGAGCGCCCGUAGCAAUACGGGAGC
rnacentral:rRNA from 1 species